CUACGGGACGCUGCAGUAAGGAAUAUUACGCAAUGGAGGCAACUCUGACGCAGCAAUGCCGCGUGCAGGAAGAAGGCCUUAUGGGUCGUAAACUGCUUUUAUUUAGGAAUAAACCCCCGAACGUGUUCGGGGCUGAAGGUACUAAACGAAUAAGCACCGGCUAACUCCGUGCCAGCAGCCGCGGUAAUACGGAGGGUGCAAGCGUUAUCCGGAUUUAUUGGGUUUAAAGGGUGCGCAGGCGGGUUAUUAAGUCAGUGGUGAAAUCCCGGGGCUCAACUCCGGAACUGCCAUUGAUACUGAUAGUCUUGAGUUUGGUUGAAGUGGGCGGAAUGUAGCAUGUAGCGGUGAAAUGCAUAGAUAUGCUACAGAACACCAAUCGCGAAGGCAGCUCACUAAGCCAAAACUGACGCUCAUGCACGAAAGCGUGGGGAUCAAACAGGAUUAGAUACCCGUGUAGUC
rnacentral:rRNA from 1 species